GGGUCAGUAGGUUGGUCGUGCCACCGGUACGUACUGGUCUCACUGAUUCCUCCUUCCUGAAGAACCGUAAUGCCAUUAAUUUGGUGUUGCGGGGAAACAGGACUGUUACUUUGAAAAAAUUAGAGUGUAUAAAGCAAGCUAACGCUUGAAUACAUCAGCAUGGAAUAAUGAAAUAGGACGAUCGAUCCUAUUUUGUUGGUUUCUAGGAUUGACGUA
rnacentral:rRNA from 1 species